rnacentral:rRNA from 1 species
ACGGGUGAGUAACGCGUGGGAAUCUACCCAACCCUACGGAAUAACGCAUGGAAACGUGUGCUAAUACCGUAUACGCCCUUUGGGGGAAAGAUUUAUCGGGGAUGGAUGAGCCCGCGUUGGAUUAGCUAGUUGGUGGGGUAAAGGCCUACCAAGGCGACGAUCCAUAGCUGGUCUGAGAGGAUGAUCAGCCACAUUGGGACUGAGACACGGCCCAAACUCCUACGGGAGGCAGCAGUGGGGAAUAUUGGACAAUGGGCGCAAGCCUGAUCCAGCCAUGCCGCGUGAGUGAUGAAGGCCCUAGGGUUGUAAAGCUCUUUCACCGGAGAAGAUAAUGACGGUAUCCGGAGAAGAAGCCCCGGCUAACUUCGUGCCAGCAGCCGCGGUAAUACGAAGGGGGCUAGCGUUGUUCGGAAUUACUGGGCGUAAAGCGCACGUAGGCGGACAUUUAAGUCAGGGGUGAAAUCCCGGGGCUCAACCUCGGAACUGCCUUUGAUACUGGGUGUCUUGAGUGUGGAAGAGGUCAGUGGAAUUGCGAGUGUAGAGGUGAAAUUCGUAGA